CACGUAGGGCGCGAGCGUUGUCCGGAAUUAUUGGGCGUAAAGAGCUCGUAGGCGGUCUGUCACGUCGGCUGUGGAAAUCCCGAGGCUCAACCUCGGGUCUGCAGUCGAUACGGGCAAACUAGAGUAUUGCAGGGGAGACUGGAAUUCCUGGUGUAGCGGUGAAAUGCGCAGAUAUCAGGAGGAACACCGGUGGCGAAGGCGGGUCUCUGGGCAAUAACUGACGUGAGGAGCGAAAGCGUGGGGAGCGAACAGG
rnacentral:rRNA from 1 species